UUUACCUAUUGUGUUGGAGCUCACUUCAGCCCCAGGCCCAGACCCUAACAAUCAGGCUUUCUUAUGAGAUUUCUAGUACUUCCUUCUUCUGGUUGGACCAGAAGGAUCACACCAUCAUCCCUUCUUGUGGUAUUUUGAAAGUUCUCUGGCUGACCAUGACCAGAAAUAGCUUUUCCCAAACAGCUUUUCCCAUGAAAUUAUGGUAUUUUCGGUCCUGACCCAGAAGUUAAAAGUGAAAACUUAUCCCCAGAUUUCAGAAAUUCAGUUCAGUUCUAACGGGUAAAGGCUGAGGAGGGGAAGCUCUCACUAUCAGAACUGUAUUACCCCAGUCUAAUUACAAUUUUUGUUAUGAUCAGAGUUUUUUUUUUUUUAAACUAUCACUAAAUGCUUUUUAGCUGAUAGUCUAUACAUGACAAUAGAAGGAGAGGUUACUUCCCUUGUUUAGUAACUCAAGUUCUUCAAGAUUGCGUCCCUAUUGGUGCUCCACAUCAGGAUGCGUAUGCAUCUGUAUGGUCUAGAUUGGAGAUUUUCAUCAAUAGUGUCCUCAUGUGUGCCCUAGAUAGCCUCAUGCUCUGGUAAGAAGGCAUAUGGGGGGAAGGGGAGGUGGACCCGCUGCCAUUUCAGUUUCUUCUCACUGUUGGAAGUUAAGCGAAGGACUCAGAGGCAGAGAGGAAAGGAGGGGAGGUAGUGAUGCACCCUUCGAGAGACACAUCUCAAAGAACUCCAAUUACAGUACAAGGUAAAUCACUUCUUCGAGUAGUGUCCCUGUGAGUGCUCCAUGUCAGGAAUGGUACCUCAAUUAUGCAAGAGGUUGCUGAGGAGGUGGAUUCAGUACAGAUGGUAAAAAAAAAAAAAAUACACCAAAGCACAUCAGUUCUGGUAGCAGGCACAAGAGUAUAAUGUUGGGAAAAUAUGUGCACUGAAGGCCAGGUGGCUGUCCUGCAGAUGUCUAAGAUAGAUAUGUUUUUCAGUAGAUAGAUUCAGCCCUGGUGGACUCCGCAAACACCUUUGGGAGGGGGGUGAAUCCCCGAGGCUUCAUAACAGGUUAAGAAGCAUCCUGCAAACCAUUUUGACAGUCUUUCAGUGGAAAUCAGAUGUCCUUUCAAUUAUUUCUGCACCUGAGAUCAAAAGCCACUUGGAAGCCCUAAAAGGCCUAGGCCUGUCAAGGUGAAAGGCAAGAGCUCUUGUUUACAUCCCAUAUAUGGAGGCUCACUUCUUCUCUCAAAGAGUGAGGCUUGGGAAAAACACCAGUAGGUAAAUCUUAUAGAUUAAUGGGGAAUUCUGAAGAAACUUUAGGUAGGAAGAGAGCGUGUGGAUGUGACAUCACUUUAUUGCAAUAGAACACCACAUAUGGCAAGUUAGCCAUCAAGGCUCCAAGCUCCCCUACUUUCCUGGGCAGGUGAUGGCUAUGAGGAAUGAGGUCUUGAGGGACAAAUGAGGGAGGGAACAGUUCACAUAGGUUCAAAUGUAGGUUUCCUCAGUGCUUUGAGGACUAAGUUGAGGAGCCAUUGUGGAGUUGGCUCUUUGAUGGGAGGGAAAAGAUUGAACAGGCCUUCGAUAAGCUUCACAGUGGGUGAAGACAGAAAACCCCUCAAUGGGGGCAAUGAAAAACUGUGAUGGCAGCUAAGUGAACCUUAAUGGAGCUCAGUGAUAAAGCUGUGGUUUUUAAAUUCAGCAGGUAAUUGAGAACGUAUGUCAGGUCUCGAGACAAGGAAUAGAUUCGUGGUUGCACCAAGUCUGGAAGCAUUUCCACUUCUGCAGGACCUUGAGCAGUAAAGGCACUGGGCGAUAAGCAUAUUGCAAUACUUGAGUCCAAGAAAUGAUUAUGGCAUCUCCUAUUGAGUUGUGGCCACGUCCUCCCCUUGAGCAGAAUAGUCUGCACUUCCCCUCGGAUGGUGUCAUAAAGAGAUCUACCUCUGGAUGAUCCCAGGGAGGAUUGCCUCUUGAGGAGUCCAUUUGCCCUGAGCUGUGAAGUUCUGAAAGCAUGCAUCCCAGCCUGUGAUGGAGGCAUCUGUAACAAUGAUCCUCAUUGGAGGAGGCUGCAAGAACAGAACUCCCACACACGCCUUUUGUGGAUCCUUCCACCAAUUUAGAGAAUUGAGGACCUUCCAAGGUGGGGUUGCUGAAGUUGCAGAAAUUAAAGCGGGCUGGAAGCAGCUGGCACACUGGCAAGCCUGAAAUUUCAUGUAGGAGUGAACUGGAACUUCUCUUGAAACAGGAGAAACUGAAGGUGGUUGUGGAUCCCAUCUGGAGGAUGGCAAUCAUUUAAUAUAAAAAUGGACCUCUAUGUGACAUUCACAGUGCCCCAUUUGUAAUGGCUUUCACAACAGGAAACACUGUACCAUGUGCAAGAAACUCUUCCUCAGCUGAAUGUCCAUUGUGUGCCUUCACCUCUUCUUCUUCUGACCUCAUUAUUGCUCCUUUUCUUGGUUCCCACUCCAUCGUGUCUUCCUGUUUCCUUCUCCCCUCUUUUCUGUGUUUCACUUCCUUUCCAUUUGCUCUUCUUUUUUUCCUCUCCCUUCCCUUUCCUUAUUCUCCUUUCACUUUUCUCCUCCUCUUCCCCAUCUCCUGUCUAUUUUGGCAUUAUAUCCCCCCCCCAUGCCCUCCCCUUUUUUCUGUUAAAAUAACUCUUGUUCAUUCUCUUUUAUUAUAUUUUUAUAUACACUUCCCUUUUACAAUCCUGAGAUAAAGAGAAAUCAGAGAGCAAGUUUAUCAACCACAUAAAACAGUCCUCUGCACCGUAAGCUGAACUUGUUACCUACUGUAUGUUUGAAAGGAAUGACUGAGAAAUAUUCAAAUUUUAUCAGUCGACUUUAACAAAAAUAGUUUGUGGUAUUCAUAUCCCUUCAGAUGCUGACUGGUGCUCAUGUUUUUCCUUUUAUUGGAUUUGACAUA